AAUAUACUCCCUCCGUCCAAAAAUACUUGUCAUCAAAAUUGAUAAAAGGGGAUGCAUCUAGACGUAUUUUAGUUCUAGAUACAUCUGUUUUUGUCCAUUUUGAUGACAAGUAUUUUCGGACGGAGGAAGUAAGUG
rfam:Triticum aestivum genome assembly, contig: Triticum_aestivum_CS42_TGACv1_scaffold_404624_5BL